rnacentral:rRNA from 1 species
UGGGGAAUAUUGCACAAUGGGCGCAAGCCUGAUGCAGCCAUGCCGCGUGUGUGAAGAAGGCCUUCGGGUUGUAAAGCACUUUCAGCGGGGAGGAAGGCGUUAAGGUUAAUAACCUUGGCGAUUGACGUUACCCGCAGAAGAAGCACCGGCUAACUCCGUGCCAGCAGCCGCGGUAAUACGGAGGGUGCAAGCGUUAAUCGGAAUUACUGGGCGUAAAGCGCACGCAGGCGGUUUGUUAAGUCAGAUGUGAAAUCCCCGGGCUCAACCUGGGAACUGCAUCUGAUACUGGCAAGCUUGAGUCUCGUAGAGGGGGGUAGAAUUCCAGGUGUAGCGGUGAAAUGCGUAGAGAUCUGGAGGAAUACCGGUGGCGAAGGCGGCUCUCUGGUCUGUAACUGACGCUGAGGCUCGAAAGCGUGGGGAGCAAACAGG